rnacentral:rRNA from 1 species
CAGUAGCCGCGGUAAUACGUAGGGUGCGAGCGUUAAUCGGAAUUACUGGGCGUAAAGCGGGCGCAGACGGUUACUUAAGCAGGAUGUGAAAUCCCCGGGCUCAACCUGGGAAUUGCGUUCUGAACUGGGUGGCUAGAGUGUGUCAGAGGGGGGUAGAAUUCCACGUGUAGCAGUGAAAUGCGUAGAGAUGUGGAGGAAUACCGAUGGCGAAGGCAGCCCCCUGGGAUAGCACUGACGUUCAUGCCCGAAAGCGUGGGUAGCAAACAGGAUUAGAGACCCGCGUAGUCCCUGUCUCUUAUAC